UCAGUGCGAAUAACCAAUGUUCACAGACCCAAAUCACUGGGUAUAGGCAAGAAGAUGGCAACUACAGAACCCAGUUUGAAGGGGAUAAUGUAUUUAAACCUGUGAGUGCAACAGAAGACAACAUAGUCUUUACCAGUGAGAAUGUGGAUAGAGCCGGCCGGACAACAAACUUGAUUUUUGUUGUUGGAAAAGGUCAACCUUUGACUCCUGAACAACAUGAAAAACUUGAGGCAUAUGCUAAGGAACGUAGCAUUCCACCAGAAAACAUUCGAGAUGUUCUUGCUACAGAUACUUGUCCUAAAUAAUGAUCUUCUGUAGAGAUGACAACAGGAUGAGAAUUAUGCAUCAUGUCCUCUUUACCACGGAAUUAGCAUCACAUACAAAUCCCCAUUUCUUUCUGAAUUAAUUUCCCCUUGACUGUGAAUUCAAGAUACCACCAUC